rnacentral:rRNA from 1 species
GUCCACGCCCUAAACGAUGUCAACUGGUUGUUGGGUCUUCACUGACUCAGUAACGAAGCUAACGCGUGAAGUUGACCGCCUGGGGAGUACGGCCGCAAGGUUAAAACUCAAAGGAAUUGACGGGGACCCGCACAAGCGGUGGAUGAUGUUCUUUAAUUCGAUGCAACGCGAAAAACCUUACCCACCUUUGACAUGUAUGGAAUCCUUUAGAGAUGAAGGAGUGCUCGAAAGAGAGCCAUAACACAGGUGCUGCAUGGCUGUCGU